AGUGAACGCUGGCGGUAGGCCUAACACAUGCAAGUCGAACGGCAGCACAGUAAGCGCUUGCUCUUACGGGUGGCGAGUGGCGGACGGGUGAGGAAUACAUCGGAAUCUACUUUUUCGUGGGGGACAACGUAGGGAAACUUAUGCUAAUACCGCAUACUACCUACGGGUUAAAUCAGAGGUGCUUCGCACCUUGCCCGAUAGAAAUAGACGGUGCCGGAUUGGAUUAUCUAGUUGGUAAGGUAACGGCUCACCAAGGCAACGAUGCAUAGCCGAUCUGAGAGGGUGAUCAGCCACACUGGAACUGAGACACGGUCCAGACUCCUACGGGAGGCAGCAGUGGGGAAUAUUGGACAAUGGGCGCAAGCCUGAUCCAGCCAUACCGCGUGAGUGAAGAAGGUCUUCGGGUUGUAAAGCCCUUUUGUUGGGAAAGAAAAGCAGCAGGUGAAUCCCCCGCUGUUCUGACGGUACCCAAAGAGUAAGCACCGGCUAACUUCGUG
rnacentral:rRNA from 1 species